rnacentral:rRNA from 1 species
AGUGAACGCUGGCGGUGGGCCUAACACAUGCCAGUCGAACGGCAGCACAGUAAGAGCUUGCUCUUACGGGUGGCGAGUGGCGGACGGGUGAGGAAUACAUCGGAAUCUACUUUUUCGUGGGGGAUAACGUAGGGAAACUUACGCUAAUACCGCAUACGACCUACGGGUGAAAGCAGGGGAUCUUCGGACCUUGCGCGAUUGAAUGAGCCGAUGUCGGAUUAGCUAGUUGGCGGGGUAAAGGCCCACCAAGGCGACGAUCCGUAGCUGGUCUGAGAGGAUGAUCAGCCACACUGGAACUGAGACACGGUCCAGACUCCUACGGGAGGCAGCAGUGGGGAAUAUUGGACAAUGGGCGCAAGCCUGAUCCAGCCAUACCGCGUGGGUGAAGAAGGCCUUCGGGUUGUAAAGCCCUUUUGUUGGGAAAGAAAAGCAGCAGGUUAAUACCCCGCUGUUCUGACGGUACCCAAAGAAUAAGCACCGGCUAACUUCGU